UGGGGAAUAUUGGACAAUGGGCGCAAGCCUGAUCCAGCCAUGCCGCGUGAGUGAUGAAGGCCUUAGGGUUGUAAAGCUCUUUUACCAGGGAAGCGGUACCUGGAGAAUAAGCCCCGGCUAACUUCGUGCCAGCAGCCGCGGUAAUACGAAGGGGGCUAGCGUUGCUCGGAAUCACUGGGCGUAAAGCGCACGUAGGUGGAUCACUAAGUCAGGGGUGAAAUCCUGGAGCUCAACUCCAGAACUGCCUUUGAUACUAUGAUCUUGAGUCCGGGAGAGGUGGGUGGAACUGCGAGUGUAGAGGUGAAAUUCGUAGAAUUCGCAAGAACACCAGUGGCGAAGGCGGCUCACUGGCCCGGUACUGACACUGAGGUGCGAAAGCGUGGGGAGCAAACAGGAUUAGAUACCCUAGUAGU
rnacentral:rRNA from 1 species